rnacentral:rRNA from 1 species
CCCGCCUACGGGGGGCAGCAGUGGGGGAUAUUGCGCAAUGGGGGGAACCCUGAUGCAGCGACGCCGCGUGGGUGAAGAAGCGCCUCGGCGCGUAAAGCCCUGUCGGCAGGGAAGAAAAUGACGGUACCUGAAGAAGAAGCCCCGGCUAACUACGUGCCAGCAGCCGCGGUAAUACGUAGGGGGCAAGCGUUAUCCGGAUUUACUGGGUGUAAAGGGAGCGUAGACGGCAUGGCAAGCCAGAUGUGAAAUACCGGGGCUCAACUCCGGGACGGCAUUUGGAACUGUUAAGCUGGAGUGUCGGAGAG